UACGGAGGGUGCGAGCGUUAUCCGGAUUUACUGGGUUUAAAGGGUGUGUAGGCGGGCUAUUAAGUCAGCGGUGAAAUCUUCGGGCUCAACCCGGAAACUGCCAUUGAUACUAUUAGUCUUGAAUACUGUGGAGGUAUGCGGAAUGUGUCAUGUAGCGGUGAAAAUGCUUUGAGAUGACACAGAACACCAUUGCGAAGGCAGCGUACUACAC
rnacentral:rRNA from 1 species